rnacentral:rRNA from 1 species
CGGAUUGAAGGCUGAAAUUCGCCUUCAUGAAGCUGGAAUUGCUAGUAAUGGCAGGUCAGCAUACUGCCGUGAAUACGUUCCCGGGCCUUGUACACACCGCCCGUCACACCAUGAGAGUUGGAAAUACCCGAAGCCUGUGAGCUAACUGUAAAGAGGCAGCAGUCGAAGGUAGAGCCAAUGAUUGGGGUGAAGUCGUAACAAGGUACC